UAGUCAUAUGCUUGUCUCAAAGAUUAAGCCAUGCAUGUCUCAGCUCAUGUCUAUGUAUGGUGAAGCCGCGAAUGGCUCAUUAUAACAGCCAUAGUUUAUUGGAUGUUGUCUAUCUAAUUGGAUAAAUGGAGGAAUUUUCGAACUUAGGGGCGGGCCAAAGACUAAAGCUUUCUCAACGGGCGACUAUAUUAAAUCUUAGACCAUCGGCCUUCGGCCUGUCUUUGGUGACUCUGAAUGAAUAUGAUGAGCGCACGGGCCUCGCACCGGCUUCCUAUCUUUACAGUGCCUGCCUGAUCCUGUGCCAAUGGCUGUUUAUGUGACUACCUUGGAUGACACUGGUAGUGGAGAAUAAGGGAUCGACUCCGGAGGGGGAGCCUGAGAAAUGCUUACCACCUCCUAGGACGGCCGCAGGAGCGCAAAUUACCCACUCUCACACCGACUAGGUACGGACAAGAAAUGACGAGACGGAUCUCUAU
rnacentral:rRNA from 1 species